rnacentral:rRNA from 1 species
GGACCCGUCUUGAAACACGGACCAAGGAGACCUGCAUGUGUGCUAGUCAUUGAGACUAUACCCAAAACUGAAAGGGGCAACCAAAGUGAAGGCGUGCGCUUGUCGCGCGCUCAGGGAGGAUGGAACGUCGGUCUUGAUCGAUCUCUCGCACUCCCGAGGCGUCUCGUUUCCAAUCCGUGAAUGCAGGCGCGCUCUGAGCACAGAUGCUGGGACCCGAAAGAUGGUGAACUAUGGA